rnacentral:lncRNA from 1 species
AGGAGCGACAUGGCAUUUGCGCCGAGAGGGGGUACCAGAGGCAGGGUUCUCGAGAUGACGGAUGCGGCGGCUGCCGCGGCUGCGGCUGACACUGCACCUGCAGCGGAGGCUCGGGCCCUCGAUGAUGCAAAAAAAUAGCAGAAGCCAGGUUCUGCGAGUCAUAAAGACUGAAUAAAAGUACUUUCGAUUUAAAAA